AAAGAGAGAGACAAGCAGGCCUCCCUCCGGGCCUGGCUGCUGUCCCCUGAACCCCGUGAACAAAUCUCUACCAACAAUCAUAAUAACAAUAAAUAAUAAAUAACAAUAAAACAGUAGUUAACAGUCCCUCCCUAGCAGGAUAACAAUAAAAUGCAAGAGGAGAGAUUUUGAGGAGGGGCCAGGGGACCGAGUCACCAUCACAGCAUCUGAGGGGAAGACAAGGGAGGGAGGAGGCAAGUUAGCUUCUUCCUAUAUGCCCUGGGGGCGCCGGGUUUGGGAACCCCUGUCCGCCCGGGUCCUCCGGCCAGAGGAGGAGAGGGAGAGCCAGGAGGCCGCUCCGCCUGCUGCUUUUUCGCCGGCUUUGGCUUUGUGCGAUCAGGGCAGGGCUCCCACAUGUGGGGGUGAUUAGUGGCUUUGGGGAGUCUCUGGAGUCCCCGUUUUGAAGAGGAGGGCGAGCGAACAGGGUGAGGCGAGGGGGCAGAGGGGGGUGAGGCGGUGGCCGAGCGGGUCGGCCCCUCUGGGGACACAGGUGCCGGGCGGCCGCGCGGGUCGGAAGGAAGCAGGAAAGCACGUACGGCCCCGGGAGCCGGAGAGCAGGGCCGGGUUUCCGGUAGGCCCGGGCAGGUUCCCUUUCUAGGGGCUUUUCAAACACACAAGCAAAGAAAAACGACAACGACAGCAACAACAACAAGACAACAAAAAAACCCAAAGAGCAAAAGAAGGAGAAGAAGGAAGGAGGGGUUGAGGCGCUGAAUUGUCCUUGGUGCGCUUGGAGCCAGCGGAUUUCCAGAAAGGAAGAGGAGACCGCGAUCCCGGAUCCCUCCACGUUCGCCUCAUUCUCUCCAGGCCCGUGCGCCUGCCCGAGCGAGCUCCCAGCCCCCGGAGAGGGCUGCUGGGGCUCCUGGGCCCUCUCCCCGAGCCCAGCGGCCUCCAGCCCUCCUUGGGGGAAUGUCAGGGCCCGGACACCUCUGCACCCUGGCCUAGAUUCUGAGUGGUCUCUCGGACCACCCGAAGAGCCCCCUGGAGUCCCAGUUGCUCACCUCCUCAGCCCCAACCCAGGACAGAGAACUACAGCCGGCAUCACGACAGUCCUGACCACAGACAGGGCCACUUGGCCGGUCGUGGAGAUCCUGGACGUUGCAGCUCAGACUACGCAGACUCCGAGCUCUCCACCUCCCUGUCCAAGCACACACAGUCGCUCCUGGGAAGAAGCCAGUCCAGGCUGGAGAACACAAGAGCCAGGUAGAGUCACUAUAAAGAUGAACUGAAUAUAAAGAGUCAAUAUAGGGGGACGCUUGGGGGGCUCAGAGGUUAAGCAUCUGCCCUCAGCUCAGGGCGUGAUCCUGGGGUCCGGGGAUCGAGUCCCACAUUGGGCUCCCCUCAUGGAGCCUGCUUCUCCCUCUGCCUGUGUCUGUGUGUCUCUCAUGAAUAAAUAAAUAAAAUCUUUUAUUUUAAG
rnacentral:lncRNA from 1 species